AAUUCAGGUGGGGCCCAGCCUCCUCUUUUAAUUGGUGACAAGGAAGACGUCAGCUCACACCCCGGAUGAGAAGGACUCUCUUCCUUACCCUGAACAUUUAAAACUACAUUCCGAAGGCUCUGAAGAACAAGUGUAUUUUCUAAAUUAACUCCCCGCUUUUUCAAAACGACCACAGCCGCUCCCCACACUUGAGCUACCCCAAAUGAUUAGCCUUUGUUAAGUCUGUAUUAAGUGAAAGUUUAGUUAAUUGUUGUUCUCCAAGGUCAGAAGAGUGGUUAUGUUAUCUAGGGCCCUUAUGGAGUCCUGUGUCUGUUUGGCACUGUUCUUUAAAAAAUUGACGCUCAGUUUUCUAGCUUCAAGUCAGAUUUCUUUAUCACCGCUAGAAAUGCAUGAGAUGGACCUUUUUUUUUUUUUUUUUUUUUAAAGAUUUUCAGCUCCUUCCUAGUUGCUGGAGAAGGUAAUUCUCAGUGACAACAAUGUAGUUUACCUUAUUCAUGAGGUAUGUAAAACAUUUCCAAAAAUAACAGAAGAUUCUAACUGGGGGUAGCCUUAUUUGACUUCCAACCUUCUUGCUUUGUCUGUGGUUUCUAGCCAAAGGGUCACACAUUUGACACCCCCUCAUUUUCAGUACUGAGCUACUUUUUCGUGCCCUGAAUGAAUGCAAUAUGUUAACACUCCUGGGCGGCCCAGAAUUGCCUGGCUGCCCCUUGGCCUGCCUGCCUGGUACUGGCUGAAAAGGUACCAUUGUUUGUUCUGCAAACACUGGGUGAUGUUUGUUUCCAAGGUGACUGGUUCUAUUGCUGCCCUUUAAGCAAAGGGGGGGGGAUGGGGAGAGAGAAAGUUGGCUUUCGACACCUGAGAGCAUCCUGUUCUUGUGUGUGUAUGUGUGUAAGUUGAAACAGUCUUUUAACUGAGGUGAUGGGAGAAAAAGACAGCCUGUCAUAAGUUCUGAUAUAUACAGUAUACUUAAAGGUAAGGGUAUGAGAAAUGUUAGAAUUAAAGGUGUGAUUAGAUUGAAAUGAAUAUGUUUUUACAUUUGAAAAAGAGUCAAGGGAAGAAAACAUUAAACGAUACCCAUUAAAAAAUUAUUAUUAUUAUUAUUAUUAUUUUUUUUUUGGUCUUUUUAGGGUCAUACAACGGUUCCCAGGCUAUUACAUUUAUUUUUGCAUGAAAUGUAGUUUGGUGGUAACUUGUAAGCAGCUAUUCAAAUGAAUAAAUGUUUGAGAGUAGUCUCAUUAAAACUGCUUACUGAUCAGGUAGCUGGGCCUCCCCCCAAAAAGUCAGGGAGAACAAGAGCUAUAAAGACACUGGUUUCAGUUUUAAGGUCUGGAAAGAAAAGUGUAGAAAAAUGUUCAAUAGUUGAACGGCAUUUAUGUCAGAUUUUCCAGAAAGAUAGCAAAAAAGAUGAAUGAUUAUACAUCAUCAUUUUGGUGAUAUAUAAGUGACUUAUUCAUCAGUGAGAGAUUUUAAGUUCAAAUAUU
rnacentral:lncRNA from 1 species